UACGUAGGUGGCAAGCGUUGUCCGGAAUUAUUGGGCGUAAAGCGCGCGCAGGUGGUUUCUUAAGUCUGAUGUGAAAGCCCACGGCUCAGCCGUGGAGGGUCAUUGGAAACUGGGGAACUUGAGUGCAGAAGAGGAAAGUGGAAUUCCAAGUGUAGCGGUGAAAUGCGUAGAGAUUUGGAGGAACACCAGUGGCGAAGGCGGCAUCCUGGACCGACACUGACACUGAGGAGCGAAAGCCAGGGGAGCAAACGGG
rnacentral:rRNA from 1 species